CCUAACUUUAUAAACCGAAGCUGAAGGGAAACUGCAGUCGUCGACGCCUGCGUUGGCAUCGCAAAAGCCCAGGAGGGAUAGCGCAGCCGAGAUUCUCCGACAGCUCCCCACCUCUCCCGGCUCUCUGAUCUACCACGUCAGUGGUCUCCUCCAGGCAGUGCAAAGGCAGUAUCUCUCUGAAUCCCGGGACGUCUCAGCCAAAGCAGGGAAGACACCCCAAGUACGCUGGAAGGCUGGGUAAGGCGCGAAGGGCAGCCCCAUUCCAGUCUUCAAAGAGAGCUAGCUGUUCACCGCUCCUCUCCUCCAGAUUUCACCGUGCCUGAAGAACUACCAUGCUUUUCAUGUAAUAUUUUUAAAAACAUUAAAUACUUUGGAUUAAGAGAUGAUCGAGAGAACAAGUGCGCAUAUGUAUAUAUAUGUGUGUGUGUGUGUGUGUGUAUGUAUAUAUACUGUUUUGGUGCCACUCCCAUUCCAGUAACUAGGAAAUAAUAUGCCUUUUCUCCAGGAAGCACUUGUUUUAAAUCAGUAAGCUCUGAAUAGACAAAAUAGUAAUGCAUUUUCAACAACUUGCUCAAUAUUUUUAAUAUUUCAUCACAAA
rnacentral:lncRNA from 1 species